rnacentral:rRNA from 1 species
UCUGCCACCGAAUACAUUAGCAUGGGAUAAUGGAAUAGGACCCUGUCCUAAAAUAAACAGUUGGUUUUGGCAGCGCGAGGACUAGGGUAAUGAUUAAUAGGGAUAGUUGGGGGCAUUAAUAUUUAAUUGUCAGAGGUGAAAUUCUUGGAUUUAUGAAAGAUUAACUUCUGCGAAAGCAUCUGCCAAGGAUGUUUUCAUUAAUCAAGAACGAAAGUUAGGGGAUCGAAGACGAUCAGAUACCGUCGUAGUCUUAACCAUAAACGAUGCCGACCAGCGAUUAGGAGACGUUGAAUACAAAACACCACCAUCGGCGCGGUCGUCCUUGGCGUCUCGGUUUCGGCCGGGGCGCGGGGACGGCUUAGCCCGGUGGCACCGGUGAAUGACUCCCCUAGCAGCUUGUGAGAA